rnacentral:rRNA from 1 species
CCUACGGCGGGCAGCAGUGGGGAAUAUUGGACAAUGGGCGAAAGCCUGAUCCAGCCAUGCCGCGUGUGUGAAGAAGGCCUUCGGGUUGUAAAGCACUUUCAGUGGGGAAGAAAGCCUUGGGGCUAAUACCCUCGAGGAAGGACAUCACCCACAGAAGAAGCACCGGCUAACUCCGUGCCAGCAGCCGCGGUAAUACGGAGGGUGCGAGCGUUAAUCGGAAUUACUGGGCGUAAAGCGCGCGUAGGCGGUCUGAUAAGCCGGUUGUGAAAGCCCCGGGCUCAACCUGGGAACGGCAUCCGGAACUGUCAGGCUAGAGUGCAGGAGAGGAAGGUAGAAUUCCCGGUGUAGCGGUGAAAUGCGUAGAGAUCGGGAGGAAUACCAGUGGCGAAGGCGGCCUUCUGGACUGACACUGACGCUGAGGUGCGAAAGCGUGGGUAGCAAACAGGACUAGAUACCCUUGUAGUC